CGAUGUCACCUUACUCCAGCC
rnacentral:miRNA from 1 species